rnacentral:rRNA from 1 species
AUUCCAGCUCCAAUAGCGUAUAUUAAAGUUGUUGCAGUUAAAAAGCUCGUAGUUGGAUUUCUGGCUAGGUGAAGCGUUCCCCAAGUUGGGUGCGAUGCGGCGCCUUGCCAUCCUUCUGUUAACCUGGGAAGCCUUAACGGCGGCCCACGGGGCUCAGAUAUUUUACCUUGAGAAAAUUAGAGUGUUUCAGGCAGGCUAGCGCCGGAAUACAUUAGCAUGGAAUAAUAGAAUAGGACUUCUGCCUCUUCUGUUGGUCUGAGGGGUUCAAGUAAUGAUUAAUAGGGAUAGUUGGGGGCAUUAGUACUUAACUGUCAGAGGUGAAAUUCUCGGAUUUGUUAAAGACUAACUUAUGCGAAAGCAUUUGCCAAGGAUGUUUUCAUCA